rnacentral:rRNA from 1 species
GACGAACGCUGGCGGCGUGCUUAACACAUGCAAGUCGAACGAAGCUUGAUUACGGAUUCUUCGGGUGUAGUUUGCUAUGACUGAAGUGCGGACUGGUUAGUCACGCGUGAGGAGCCGGCCCUUUAUAGGGGACUAUCGUUAGGAAACGAUAGGUAAUACCGCAUAAUGUAUUUUGACCGCAUGAUCGAAAUACAACACAUUUAUCGCUGAAGGCUGGACUGUCGUCUGAUUAGGUGGUUGGGGGGGUAACGGCCUACCAAGCCGACGACCAGUAGCCGGACUGAGAGGUUGAGCGGCCACAUUGGGACUGAGACACGGCACAGACUCCUACGGGAGGCAGGAGUGGGGAAUAUUGCAAAAUGGGCGCAAGCAUGAUGGAGCAACGCUGCGUGAAGGAAGACGUUUGUCGGAUUGUAAUCUUCUGUUCUUAGUGAAGAAUAAUGACGGUAGCUAAGGAGAAAGCCACGGCUAACUACGUG